CCCUUAGAUGUUCUGGGCCGCACGCGUGCUACACUGAGUAAAUCAAUGGGUAAGGGAACACGAAAGUGCAACCUAAUCUUGAGAUUUGCUCGUGAUGGGGAUCGACGGUUGCAAUUUUCCGUCGUGAACGAGGAAUACCUUGUAGGCGCGUGUCAUCAUCACGCGCCGAAUACGUCCCUGCCCUUUGUACACACCGCCCGUCGCUCCUACCGAUUGAGUGAUCCGGUGAGGCUCUGGGACCUGGACGGAAAGAGCGUUUCGCUUGUUCUGUUUGGGAAACUUGGUCGAACCUUAUCAUUUAGAGGAAGGAGAAGUCGUAACA
rnacentral:rRNA from 1 species